GAUGAACGCUGGCGGCGUGCCUAACACAUGCAAGUCGAGCGAACGGACGAGAAGCUUGCUUCUCUGAUGUUAGCGGCGGACGGGUGAGUAACACGUGGAUAACCUACCUAUAAGACUGGGAUAACUUCGGGAAACCGUAGCUAAUACCGGAUAAUAUUUUGAACCGCAUGGUUCAAAAGUGAAAGACGGUCUUGCUGUCACUUAUAGAUGGAUCCGCGCUGCAUUAGCUAGUUGGUAAGGUAACGGCUUACCAAGGCAACGAUGCAUAGCCGACCUGAGAGGGUGAUCGGCCACACUGGAACUGAGACACGGUCCAGACUCCUACGGGAGGCAGCAGUGGGGAAUCUUCCGCAAUGGGCGAAAGCCUGACGGAGCAACGCCGCGUGAGUGAUGAAGGUCUUCGGAUCGUAAAACUCUGUUAUUAGGGAAGAACAGAUGUAUAAGUAACUGUGCACAUCUUGACGGUACCUAAUCAGAAAGCCCCGGCUAACUACGUG
rnacentral:rRNA from 1 species